GACGAACGCUGGCGGCGUGCUUAACACAUGCAAGUCGAACGGAAAGGCCCUGCUUUUGUGGGGUGCUCGAGUGGCGAACGGGGGAGUAACACGUGAGUAACCUGCCCUUGACUUUGGGAUAACUCCAGGAAACUGGGGCUAAUACCGGAUAGGAGCUCCUGCUGCAUGGUGGGUGUUGGAAAGUUUCGGCGGUUGGGGAUGGACUCGCGGCUUAUCAGCUUGUUGGUGGGGUAGUGGCUUACCAAGGCUUUGACGGGUAGCCGGCCUGGGAGGGUGACCGGCCACAUUGGGACUGAGAUGCGGCCCAGACUCCUACGGGAGGCAGCAGUGGGGAAUAUUGCACGAUGGGCGGAAGCCUGAUGCAGCAACGCCGCGUGCGAGAUGACGGCCUUCGGGUUGUAAACCGCUUUCGCCUGGGACGAAGCGUGAGUGACGGUAAUGGGUAAAGAAGCACCGGCUAACUACGUG
rnacentral:rRNA from 1 species